rnacentral:rRNA from 1 species
GACGAACGCUGGCGGCAUGCCUAAUACAUGCAAUUCGAGCGAACAGAUGAAGUGCUUGCACUUCUGACGUUAGCGGCGAACGGGUGAGUAACACGUAAGGAAUCCACCUAUAAGCGGGGGAUAACAUUCGGAAACGGGUGCUAAUACCGCAUAAUAUCUUCUUUCGCAUGGAAGAAGAUUGAAAGACGGCUCUGCUGUCACUUAUAGGUGACCUUUCGGUGCUUUAGUUAGUUGUGGGGGUAACGGCGAACCAAGACGAUGAUGCAUAGCCGAACGGAGGUGGUGUUCGGCGCGAUUGGGACGUAGACACGGCCCAAGCUCCUACGGGUAGCAGUAUGGGGAAAUCUUCCGCAAUGGGCGAGGGCCUGACGGAGCAAUUCCGCGUUAGUGAAGGGGGCCUUUGGGUAGUAAAAAUCUGUUAUAACAGAAGACCAAAUUGUAGAGUAACUGCUACAGUCUUGACGGUAUCUUAUCAGAAAGCCACGGCUAACUACGUGCCAGCAGCCGCCGUAA